rnacentral:rRNA from 1 species
GUAGGUGGCAAGCGUUGUCCGGAAUUAUUGGGCGUAAAGCGCGCGCAGGCGGUUCUUUAAGUCUGAUGUGAAAGCCCACGGGCUCAACCGUGGAGGGUCAUUGGAAACUGGAGAACUUGAGUACAGAAGAGGAAAGCGGAAUUCCACGUGUAGCGGUGAAAUGCGUAGAGAUGUGGAGGAACACCAGUGGCGAAGGCGGCUUUCUGGUCUGUAACUGACGCUGUGGCGCGAAAGCGUGGGGAGCAAACAGGAUUAGAUACCCUGGUAGUCCACGCCGUAAACGAUGAGUGCUAAGUGUUAGGGGGGUUUCCGCCCCUUAGUGCUGCAGCUAACGCAUUAAGCACUCCGCCUGGGGAGUACGGCCGCAAGGCUG